AAUGCCCGUUACAUCUAUCAAUCAUCUUCUUUCUUACGGAGUUGCAGACCCUAAUUUCGCGAUCUCGAUUGUGAGACUUUACCUCUUCCUCACCUUUGUUUGUUUUCGUCAGAUAGAACUAGGAGAGGUCGAACCGAUAGAGAGAUGUCAAGUUGCAGAUAAGAGAGAGGUCAUGUUUGAUCACGUCCGAUACAGCUAACUGCUGCCUCUUUACCUAAAGCUCGGAGAUCCUUCUGUAUCCCUCUCCUCGUGUUUCUAUCUUUCGCCUUCAACAGCUUCCCAUUCAACUCCUUCAUCUCCUUCCUGAUGUCGUUCGCCAGCGCGCUGUUGUCCCCCUUGAGAACCUGAGCGUCUAAGGCACUGUCCAGCACCUGAGGUAACAAGCAGGAGAAAAUCUAGGAAUACUCAGCGUUUUAAGCGUAACCCCCUUAGGGGAGGUCAAUCACUAUUACACAUCAAUCUGUAAACCUGUUUCUCUUUAGCUCCAUCAGUGUCUGCUUCCGUAAAACUCCAUCACCUAACAUAACUACAAAGGUAGAUGGAAGCUUGAUCAUGGAUUUUGAAACUUCUUAAGAGUCUUCUCCGUUGCUUAAUACAUCCCUGGAAGCGUUUCUGGAGCAUUUUUCGUAACAUGAUAGAUGUUCUUCUUGAAAAAAACAAAGGUCACAAAUUAUUCUUGGAGAAUCAAGAUUGAAGAACGAUUCAGUGCUUCAAUUUAUCUCAUGAGUAAGCUAUUUUAUCUCAGACUCUGCAAAAUGAUUUUAAGCGUGUGCUAGAGUUUGCACUUCCUCUUCUUGAAGAUUUUAUUGUUGAUGAUGCCAUUAAACUCUAUAUCAGUCCGUUUACAUAAGAUGCUAAAGGUUUUCGGCUUUAUGCUUAAAUAUAGAAAAUUUAUGGUACUGUGCUUUAUUGCAAAUGGUGGUUAGUCCCGCUAUGAGCAAGGCAAUGGAUGGUUAAAUCCUCAACUCUGAGUAAUGGAGCCCUCUCAGUGAAUUGUUCAGGUUAGAUCAUUCUGAGAGUUUCAAGUGAUGUACUUGAAAGAACAUUCUUAACCACUCAUGGAGGUUGCUGGUUUGAAGGAGAGCAAUGUUGUAGACAUCAAGUAGAUAUGAGAAUCAUACCUCUCUGAAAGUAGAAGUCACUUGCAAAACAGAAGGUGAAGGAGUUUUCGAAAAAGCAACUUUACGGCAGUUCAAGCUUUGACCACUCUGAAACGUCUCAUCGUCCACCGCUCUCGAAAUUAUUCUAUAUAAACACGUUUCAUAUUUAGCCAUGUUCGAGCUAAGUUUGGAUCAGAUGGAGAUGCCACACCAGCUAUCAAAAGCUCCUCCGCUUAUUGGUUUGAGGUUAAUGUAUCUGAUGACGGUGGUGAUGACUGAUGAGGCAACCUUUGUCAUCUUCUACAAAGCUGCAAUGAAACCGGUUGGUAGACAAGCGCCAUUCGUCUUGAACGAGAUCAGAGAGAACAAUGAUGACACUGCAUCUGGAAAAGACAAGUGAGACGCAUAGAUUUCAAAAGCGGCAGAGAAAGGGUGUCAAACUUCCACGUCAUAACUAAGAUCCCAGCAUUGUCCCAUUAAUGCGGUAGACAGAUUUAUGUUUUUGUUUCUGAUUUCUACGGUAACUAUAUCUUAGUCUUCUAUUGUCACUAUAUCUUAGUCGCGCCACCAAGUAAGUUAUUUAAAAAAAAAAUAUGAAUUGUCUUCCAUUUUUCAUUUUUAUGAUCAAAUCUAUAAAAACAUUUAAUAAUUAAAUAAUUCAUUUAAAUAGAUAAUUUGUUUUCAAUCCAA